CCUCUCUCUCUCCAAGCCUGUCUGUCCUGCCUCUCUCUCCACCCAGACAUGACUGGGGAUUGAUUUAGGUCAGCAAGUCUGGGGCUCUGCUGCACUCUGUCUCCACUCCCCAUUCAUUCGCUCAUCUGAAAAGGUCGACGAUGGUGAUCGUCGCAGGGACUUGCCAGAUGGGUGGUAGCAACAGUGCCGUGGUCUAGCCAGAGCCCAAAAUGAGAGGAUAGGAUGCCAGGACGCCGGGCCCGAGUUGAUUGGCACCUGAACGACGAAAGAGGAGGUGAGAUGAAGAGGAGGGGAAGAGUAGAGUUAUUUUGUCUACAAGCAGACAAGUGCCAUCCAGCCAGAGGGGUCGUCGUCAGUCAGUAGGACUGUGUGUUAUUGCUUUAAGGCACCAUGGAUUUGACAACCAUCUGUCCACCGUCAAAAAACUGUGUUUCAAAUGCCAUAUUCUCUCUCUUCCAACCCAGAACAUAGAUCCACAUUUAUUUGUGCUCUUCUCUCUCUCUCUUUCUCUCUCUGUUUCGAAUAUUCCUUCGUGCAGUAGCACCGGGUAUGUCCUCCCAGGAACACGAAGGGGAGACGACACAUCGGGUAUGUCCUCCCAGGAACACGAAGGGGAGACGACACAUCGGGUAUGUCCUCCCAGGAACAUGAAGGGAAGACGACACAUCAGGUAUGUCCUCCCAGGAACACGAAGGGGAGACGACACAUCGGGUAUGUCCUCCCAGGAACACGAAGGGAAGACGACACAUCAGAUAUGUCCUCCCAGGAACACGAAGGGGAGACGACACAUCGGGUAUGUCCUCCCAGGAACAUGAAGGGAAGACGACGAGUAAAAUAACAUUUUGGAUUUACGAGAGUCCGCAGAAAAGAAGUGGAGUCGGUUCACUUUGGCUUUUUCUCCCCCUUCUUCCUCUCUUCCUCCCAGCGUCUGUCUGGCUUGGUGCACUGCGACUGGGAAACUGUAGUUGGUAGCACACAGAGCUCUCUCCCUCUCUGCCAGUGGCAAACUGAGGAAGGCAGGCAGCGGCAGCUUCGUGACACAGCAAUCAGCUGACAUGGUGCUAUCCCUCAAUGUCCUGAGCAAGCUGGGGGGGGGGCUGGGGGCUGCUGGACGGAUGGACAGAAGCGGGUUGGGGGGGUGUUGGCUAAGACCCAGACUACACCUCCUAGACCAGAGCAGAUGAUCGACACACCGCAUUCAGACUGCCUCCCUCUGCCACCCUACUGACCAGACUAGACGCCACACACACACACACACCACCGCUGACCUGACCACACGGCUCCAGACAACAUCGACCACAGUAGAGACAGGAUGGAGGGAGGGAGAGGACUGCGCUCUGUCUGACUUGGUCCCUACCCUGCCUCUCUCUCUCUCUUUCUCUCCCUUGCUCUCUCUUUCUCAUCCCAAAUCCUCCUCCCUUUUCUCUUACACCCACACCAGUGUUCAUCUCACCACAGAGACAUGUCUCCUCCCUCCUUACUCCCUCACCACUGUUCAUCUCACCACAGAGACAUGUCUCCCCCCUCCUUACUCCCUCACCACCUGUGCAUCUCACCACAGAGACAUGUUUCCUAGAUCCUUACUCCCUCACCACUGUUCAUCUCACCACAGAGACAUGUCUCCUCCCUCCUUACUCCCUCAUCACUGUUCAUCUCAGCACAGAGACAUGUCUCCUCCCUCCUUACUCCCUCACCACUGUUCAUCUCACCACAGAGACAUGUCUCCUCCCUCCUUACUCCCUCACCACUGUUCAUCUCAGCACAGAGACAUGUCUCCUCCCUCCUUACUCCCUCACCACUGUUCAUCUCACCACAGAGACAUGUCUCCUCCCUCCUUACUCCCUCACCACUGUUCAUCUCACCACAGAGACAUGUCUCCUCCCUCCUUACUCCCUCACCACUGUUCAUCUCACCACAGAGACAUGUCUCCUCCCUCCUUACUCACUCCCCAGUGUUCAUCUCACCACAGAGACAUGUCUCCUCCCUCCUUACUCACUCCCCAGUGUUCAUCUCACCACAGAGACAUGACUCCUCCCUCCUUACUCCCUCACCACCUGUUCAUCUCACCACAGAGACAUGACUCCUUAUGCCGGUUAAUUUGGGACAACACCUGCAACCCGAUCUCAGGUGGCUCGUUGCAGCCCUAAAAAAAAAAGAACAACCUACAACCUUGAAAACGGGCAGAUGUUCAAACUAACUCAGCUCGACUUCAGGAAUCAGAGUUUGACACUAAACAAUGAUCUCUUGUCCGAAUGGGCUACAGGAUUAAAGUGUUGACGCCGGGGAAUCAUUAACGGAGCUACGCUGCCUGGCGGCUGCUACCUGGAUAAGAUAAGGCUCACCUGUUUAAACAUGCAUAUGAAUCAAUACAUUUCAUAUAUGACACGCUGAAUGGUGAGCGUAGGCUACCAUCUGUCCCUUUUGCAAUGAAUAACACAGAGUUUGUAAAUGAUUAAGAGUAAU
ensembl:lncRNA